rnacentral:rRNA from 1 species
GGACAGGCUCAGGACGAACGCUGGCGGCGUGCCUAAUACAUGCAAGUAGAACGCUGAAGAGAGGAGCUUGCUCUUCUUGGAUGAGUUGCGAACGGGUGAGUAACGCGUAUGUAUCCUGCUUUAUAGCGGGGGAUAACUAUUGGAAACGAUAGCUAAUACCGCAUAACAAUGGAUGACACAUGUCAUUUAUUUGAAAGGGGCAAUUGCUCCACUACAAGAUGGACCUGCGUUGUAUUAGCUAGUAGGUGAGGUAAUGGCUCACCUAGGCGACGAUACAUAGCCGACCUGAGAGGGUGAUCGGCCACACUGGGACUGAGACACGGCCCAGACUCCUACGGGAGGCAGCAGUAGGGAAUCUUCGGCAAUGGGGGCAACCCUGACGGAGCAACGCCGCGUGAGUGAAGAAGGUUUUCGGAUCGUAAAGCUCUGUUGUAAGUCAAGAACGGGUGUGAGAGUGGAAAGUUCACACUGUGACGGUAGCUUACCAGAAAGGGACGGCUAACUACGUGCCAGCAGCCGCGGUAAUACGUAGGUCCCGAGCGUUGUCCGGAUUUAUUGGGCGUAAAGCGAGCGCAGGCGGUUUGAUAAGUCUGAAGUUAAAGGCUGUGGCUCAACCAUAGUUCGUUUGGAAACUGUCAAACCUGAGUAGGAGC